rnacentral:rRNA from 1 species
GGUUAAGUGACUAAGCGUACACGGUGGAUGCCUUGGCAGUCAGAGGCGAUGAAAGACGUAGUAACUUGCGAUAAGCCCAGAUUAGGUAGUAACAACCAUUUGAGUCUGGGAUUUCUGAAUGGGGAAACCCACGUGCAUAAGCACGUAUCCUUACCUGAAUACAUAGGGUAAGGAGGCGAACCGGGGGAACUGAAACAUCUAAGUACCCCGAGGAAAAGAAAUCAACCGAGAUUCCGAAAGUAGCGGCGAGCGAAAUUGGACUAGCCCUUAAGCUUUACACGCGUUAGACGAACGGUCUGGAAAGUCCGACGAUACAGGGUGAUAGUCCCGUAGUUGACGACGUGUGUUCAGUGAAAUCGAGUAGGGCGGGACACGUGAUAUCCUGUCUGAAUAUGGGGGGACCAUCCUCCAAGGCUAAAUACUACUGACUGACCGAUAGUGAACCAGUACCGUGAGGGAAAGGCGAAAAGAACCCCUGUGAGGGGAGUGAAAUAGAACCUGAAACCGUGUACGUACAAGCAGUAGGAGCAGGCUUUGUCCUGUGACUGCGUACCUUUUGUAUAAUGGGUCAGCGACUUAUAUUCAGUGGCAAGGUUAACCAUCUAGGGGAGCCGUAGGGAAACCGAGUCUUAACUGGGCGUUCAGUCUCUGGAUAUAGACCCGAAACCAGGUGAUCUAGCCAUGGGCAGGUUGAAGGUUGAGUAACAUCAACUGGAGGACCGAACCGACUAAUGUUGAAAAAUUAGCGGAUGACUUGUGGCUAGGGGUGAAAGGCCAAUCAAACCUGGAGAUAGCUGGUUCUCCCCGAAAGCUAUUUAGGUAGCGCCUCGGACGAAUACUACUGGGGGUAGAGCACUGUUAAGGCUAGGGGGUCAUCCCGACUUACCAACCCUUUGCAAACUCCGAAUACCAGUAAGUACUAUCCGGGAGACACACGGCGGGUGCUAACGUCCGUCGUGGAGAGGGAAACAACCCAGACCGCCAGCUAAGGUCCCAAAUUACUACUAAGUGGGAAACGAUGUGGGAAGGCUCAGACAGCCAGGAUGUUGGCUUAGAAGCAGCCAUCAUUUAAAGAAAGCGUAAUAGCUCACUGGUCGAGUCGGCCUGCGCGGAAGAUGUAACGGGGCUAAGUA